rnacentral:rRNA from 1 species
GCUCUGUCUCGCGAUUGGAAUGAGAACAAUGUAAAAGCCUUAACGAGGAUCCACUGGAGGGCAAGUCUGGUGCCAGCAGCCGCGGUAAUACCAGCUCCAGUAGCGUAUAUUAAAGUUGUUGCAGUUAAAAAGCUCGUAGUUGAAAUUCUGUACGGAACGACGUCUUCGGAUGAUCGAGCCGUGCAUCCGCCUGAGCAGCAGGUCGGUACUUUGUUGCCGGUUUGUGAUCAGGCACUUUACCUUGAGCAAAUUAGAGUGUUCCAGGCAGGCGUCAGCCUGAAUAGUCCAGCAUGGAAUAAUAGAAGAGGACUGAAAACCACUGUUGGUGUUGUGGUAAUCAGUAAUGAUUAAUAGGGAUAGUUGGGGGCAUUCGUAUUUAAUUGUCAGAGGUGAAAUUCUAUGAUUUAUUAAAGACGAACCUAUGCGAAAGCAUUUGCCAAGGAUGUUUUCAUUAAUCAAGAACGAAAGUUAAGGGAUCAAAGACGAUCAGAUACCGUCGUAGUCUUAACCAUAAACUAUGCCGACUAGAGAUUGGAGGUGCAACUCCAAGACUCCUUCAGCAUCUUACGAGAAAUCAAAGUCUUUGGGUUCUGGGGGGGGUAUGGUCGCAAGACUGAAACUUAAAGGAAUUGACGGAAGGGCACCACCAGGUGUGGAGCCUGCGGCUUAAUUUGACCCAACACGGGGAAACUUACCAGGUCCAGACAUACCGAGGAUUGACAGACUGACAGCUCUUUCUUGAUUCUAUGGGUGGUGGUGCAUGGCCGUUCUUAGUUGGUGGAGUGAUUUGUCUGGUUAAUUCCGAUAACGAACGAGACCUCAGCCUGCUAAAUAGUCAGAGUCCGAUUGGGCUUGUGACUUCUUAGAGGGACUGUGGGGGCUACUCCACGGAAGUUUGAGGCAAUAACAGGUCUGUGAUGCCCUUAGAUGUCCUGGGCCGCACGCGCGCUACACUGAUGCAGGCAGCAAGCACCGUGGCAGAAAUGUCUCGGAAAACUACAAACUGCAUCGUGCUGGGGAUUGACUCUUGGAAUUCUUGGUCAUAAACGAGGAAUACCUAGUAAACGCAAGUCAUCAGCUUGCAUUGAUUACGUCCCUGCCCUUUGUACACACCGCCGUCGCUCCUACCGAUUUGAGUGGUGCGGUGAACCCUUCGGACCGGUACGCCGGAAAGUUGAGUAAACCUUACCACUUAGAGGAAGGAGAAGUCGUAACAAGGUA